UUUUGGCAGUCUUGAGUUCACACAUGAAUUGGGCUACUUCUGUGUAUAUUGAAAUUGGGACAAGUUACCAUGCAGUUUUGGCUGCACCUGUUGGAAAUGGUUUUGUCCAUGUGAAGCUGGCUUGCAAUCAAUAAACCAGAGUGAGGGAAUUGGUGAUAGUGGGUUUGAAUCACAGCAGAAAUGCCCUUAAACCAUUAAAUUGGGUGCAUGGUCCGGCUUCCAUCUGAAAGGUCACAUUUGCUAGUUGGGACCUUAAAACCGGUCUAUUUGAUCGAACUUCUGUAUCCAGCCAAUGGAUGACCCGGCAUUCUGCAUUGUGGAUGCAUUUUGGAAUUCGGACCUAUCAUUGCCACUUGUUUCCUCCUCGUAAAACAGUACGAUGCAACGUCAUCUCCCAGUCUCAGCACGACAGAUGCUCUAUUCUAGCUGUCAUUUGGAAUCUGAAAGCUAGCAAGAUUUUCCUUGUGGGAAAUGUCGUUCGUUUAAAAUCAGUACAGAAUCCAAUUUUUA